GACCAGACUCCUACGGGAGGCAGCAGUAGGGAAUUUUGCGCAAUGGGGGAAACCCUGACGCAGCAACACCGCGUGAAUGUUAAGCCCUUCGGGGUGUAAAGUUCUGUCAAUAGGGACGAAUUUUGACUGUACCUAUAAAGGAAGCACCGGCUAACUCCGUGCCAGCAGCCGCGGUAAUACGGAGGAUGCGAGCGUUAUCCGGAUUUAUUGGGUUUAAAGGGUGCGUAGGCGGAUUUUUAAGUCAGCGGUAAAAUGUCCGGGCUCAACCCGGGCCGGCCGUUGAAACUGGGGAUCUUGAGUGGGCGAGAAGUAUGCGGAAUGCGUGGUGUAGCGGUGAAAUGCAUAGAUAUCACGCAGAACUCCGAUUGCGAAGGCAGCAUACCGGCGCCCGACUGACGCUGAGGCACGAAAGCGUGGGGAUCGAACAGGAUUAGAUACCCGUGUAA
rnacentral:rRNA from 1 species